rnacentral:sRNA from 1 species
CAGACACGGGCGGCCAGACUCAAUGGCGC